CUUCAAACCAUCGAGGAAGCUGAACAGCUUAUCCUUCUCGGACAUGUCCUGGAUGUCCAGCAUUAGCGCAGAAAAUUACUUCACGUAGUCUUGGAUGGAAGCAUUUUGGCGGAGUUAUCUCAAUUUCCUUCUUGCGACGAACUCGGUGUUCUCCGGUAGGAACUGAGUUCUCAACUCUCGCUUCAAGUCCUCCCAUGUGUCAACUC
rnacentral:lncRNA from 1 species